CAAGUCGAACGCGAAAGCCCCCUUCGGGGGGCAAGUAGAGUGGCGCACGGGUGAGUAACACGUAGGUAAUCUACCUUUGGAUGGGGAAUAACCACCGGAAACGGUGGCUAAUACCGCAUAAUGCAGCGGCACCUAAUGGUGACAGUUGUUAAAGCGGGGGAUCGUAAGACCUCGCGUCUGAAGAGGAGCCUGCGGCAGAUUAGCUAGUUGGUAAGGUAAAGGCUUACCAAGGCGAUGAUCUGUAGCCGGCCUGAGAGGGCGGUCGGCCACACUGACACUGACAUACGGGUCAGACUCCUACGGGAGGCAGCAGUCGGGAAUUUUGGGCAAUGGGCGAAAGCCUGACCCAGCAACGCCGCGUGAAGGAUGAAAUCCCUCGGGAUGUAAACUUCGCAAGAACGGGAAGAAUAAGUAAGAGUUAAUAUCUCUUAUGAUGACGGUACUGUUUGUAAGCUCCGGCUAACUCCGUGCCAGCAGCCGCGGUAAUACGGGGGGAGCAAGCGUUGUUCGGAUUUACUGGGCGUAAAGGGCGCGUAGGCGGCCACCGCAAGUCGACUGUGAAAUCUCCGGGCUUAACUCGGAAAGGUCAGCCGAUACUGCGGGGCUAGAGUGCAGAAGGGGCAACUGGAAUUCUCGGUGUAGCGGUGAAAUGCGUAGAUAUCGAGAGGAACACCUGCGGCGAAGGCGGGUUGCUGGGCUGACACUGACGCUGAGGCGCGAAAGCUAGGGGAGCGAACGGGAUUAGAUACCCCGGUAGUCCUAGCCUUAAACGAUGAAUGCUUGGUGUCUGGGGUUUUAUAGUCCCCGGGUGCCGUC
rnacentral:rRNA from 1 species